GCGAACGCUGGCGGCAGGCCUAACACAUGCAAGUCGAACGAACCUUUCGGGGUUAGUGGCGGACGGGUGAGUAACACGUGGGAACGUGCCUUUAGGUUCGGAAUAACUCAGGGAAACUUGUGCUAAUACCGAAUGUGCCCUUCGGGGGAAAGAUCUAUCGCCUUUAGAGCGGCCCGCGUCUGAUUAGCUAGUUGGUUGAGGUAAUGGCUCACCAAGGCGACGAUCAGUAGCUGGUCUGAGAGGAUGAUCAGCCACAUUGGGACUGAGACACGGCCCAAACUCCUACGGGAGGCAGCAGUGGGGAAUCUUGCGCAAUGGGCGAAAGCCUGACGCAGCCAUGCCGCGUGAAUGAUGAAGGUCUUAGGAUUGUAAAAUUCUUUCACCGGGGACGAUAAUGACGGUACCCGGAGAAGAAGCCCCGGCUAACUUCGUG
rnacentral:rRNA from 1 species